UGGGGAAUAUUGGACAAUGGGCGAAAGCCUGAUCCAGCGACGCCGCGUGGGUGAUGAAGGCCUUCGGGUUGUAAAGCCCUUUCGUCAGGGAAGAUAAUGACGGUACCUGAAGAAGAAGCUCCGGCUAACUUCGUGCCAGCAGCCGCGGUAAUACGAAGGGAGCUAGCGUUACUCGGAAUCAUUGGGCGUACAGCGUGCGUAGGCGGCUUUAUAAGUCAAAAGUGAAAGCCUGAGGCUCAACCUCAGAAUUGCUUUUGAUACUGUAUGGCUAGAGUGUCAGAGGGGAUAGCGGAAUUCCUAGUGUAGAGGUGAAAUUCGUAGAUAUUAGGAGGAACACCGGUGGCGAAGGCGGCUAUCUGGCUGAAUACUGACGCUGUUGCACGAAAGCGUGGGGAGCAAACA
rnacentral:rRNA from 1 species